CAUCUUUUAAAUAGUCGUUUAAUAAUGUGAAACCGUGAUCAUUUUACAUCUGGUUAUCAUACCGAACACCCAAGUUACAUCUAGCAACAAAUCUCAGAACAACUGACUGUUUCAGUUUACUUAUUUAAUCAGACUGUUUAAGUCAGUUCAGCACUCACAUAACCCAAACUCUGAUGAAAUUUUCCAGCUUCCAACAUUCACAAGUCACGUGUAUAAAACAGAUCUAUUCUUUCCGCUGCUACUUAACUGGAUAGCUAAGCUAAUUUUAGUAAAAGGCUGCGUAUAUUCACCCUUUCUGAAGAGAUUUAAGCUCUACACGUUGCCUCUCUGGCUUGAGUCAGCAGUUUACCGGCCAUUGAGCAGUUUAUCCAUGCGAGUUAAGUGAAGCGCACAUGGACUACAGACCUGUGAUUGUCCACAGACCCGCUCUGUUCAGGGCCCGGCUUGCACUGCGCAUGCGCUGUACAAAUCGGUUAGUGGCUUGAACACAUUCGGCUUACUACUCCCUACAAGUGCACUGUACGGUAGUAUAGAAUAAUGGUUUCUAGGCUCCAGGUAGUGCAAUACUACAUGUCAAACAGGAUGACAUUCACUACUUGCAGUUAUGUUGAGCAGCUAUCUGGCUGAGCUAUUAUUUUAUUACGCUGAGGCUACGUCUCAGACCGCACACUACAUACUAAAGAGUAUGUCAAAAAUAACCAUGACACCGUUGGCGUUGUUCAAAUUUGACAUAUUAUUUAGUAUAGUUGUUUGCGGUUUGGGACUCACCCUUGUGCCGAUGAAAUCAGUUAGCGGACGGGCUAGCGCAUGGCUCUGGGAGGAACAUGGACCCUUAAAGAACGAAAAACAACGUUGAUAACGCAAAUACGAAUUGUAACGAAAAGCUAUUUAGCAAAUAAAUGACUAAAAAAUACUACUUUCUGAUAUCUACAGCUAAGCUAACUGGGUAGCUACCACGCUAGCUGCCUAUUAACGCCAGGCCCUGUGUUGUUAGGGAAGCUAGCUACACUAGCCCAAUGGUGUUGAGUAAUAUUGUUAACUGAAAGUUAGUUUCUCUGUACACUGACCCAUGGAAACUGUCGGUCAUUUACACGCCGUUUCUUACCUGAGCAGAAUGUCAAGCGGCUUUUCUGUCUACAUUUCGGAGCAGGAGUUUCAGCAGCACCGCUCCGGCCGUCCAUAGCGGAGCUUAAAAAAAACCGCGCUUGUUUCUUUUUUUCUUCUUUUUUUUUGUCUGCUCGAGCUUCUAUCUGUAUCAUAGCAACCACAAACUAAACCUGCAGCACAAGCUGAACAUACACAACCUCUCAAUCACACCUGUCUAUAACCUGCUGUGGAAUUCAAAUAUUUUAUACAUAUAUAUGUUUAUAUAUAUAAUUUAUAUUGUCUGUGUAUAUAUAUAUAUAUGCUAGUGUGUGUGCCAGUUCAGCCGGUUUUUGGACUGGGGGAGGAAACCCCCGCAGCACAGGGAGAACAUGCAAAACAUGUUCAUGCAAACAGAACAUGCAAACUCCGCACACACAGCCCCGGCGGGAAUCGAACCCCGGACCCUGGAGGGGUGCGGCGAACAUGCUAACCACUAAGCCACUGUGCACACACGAUCAUAUAUGUAUAAUCAUACUGAUGGCUCACUGAUGCGCAUGGUUCGUGAAGGCUAACCCAUCUAGUACGAUACCACAGAAGAGCUACUUUAGCAUAAAUUGCUGAAAAAGUUCAUGCUGGCUAUGAUAUAAAGGUGUCAGAACGCAAAUCAUAUCAUAGCUUGCUGCGUAUGGGGCUGUGUAGCUGUAGACCGGUCAGAGUGCCCAUGCUGACCUCUGUCCACUGCCAUGGGCUUGUGAGCAUCAGAACUGGACCAUGGAGCAAUGGAAGAAGGUUGCCUGGUCUGAUGAAUCAUAUUUCCUUUUACAUCAUGUGGAUGUCUGGGUGUUUGUGCGUCGCUUACCUGUGGACUGGCUGGCACCAGGAUGCACUAUGGGAAGUAGACAAGCUGGCAGAGGCAGUGUGAUGCUCUGGGCAAUGCUCUGCUGGGAAAUUAGGUCCUGACAUUCAUCUGGAUGCUACUUUGACACGUAGCACCUAUGUAAACAUUGUAGCAGACCAAGUUCACCCCUUCAUGGCAAUGUUGUUCCCUAAUGGCAGUGGCCUCUUUUAGCAGGAUAAUACGCACUGCCACACUGCAAAAAUUGUUCAGGAAUGGUUUGAGGAACAUGACAAAGAGUUCAUGGUGUUGACUUGGCCUCUAAAUUCCCCAGAUCUUAAUCAGAUCGAGCAUCUGGGGGAUGUGCUGGAUAAACAAGGCUGAUCCAUGGAAGCCCCACUUCACAACUUACAGGACUUAAGGGAUCUGCUGCUAACAUCUUGCUGCCAGAUACCACAGCACACCUUCACAGGUCUUGUGGAGUCCAUGCCUCGACAGGUCAGAGCUGUUUUGGCGGCAUAAGGUGGACCUACACAAUAUUAGGCAGGUGGUUUUAAUGUUAUGGCUGAUUGGUGUAUAGCAUGUCAUCUGGAAUGAAUAAAUAAAUGUUUCACUUGUGUAACACACUGCACCCAGUGAGACACUUUACUUAGUGGCAAUUAAAGUUUGUUAGUAUUGUGCCUCUUUCUGGUUCUAGUUUGUAAAAAAUCACGCAGGUCAAGUGAAGCCCUUAACAGCACACUAUAAAAUGUCUGAAAACAUCUUCAAGCUAUUUUCUGUUGGAUAACAGGAAUAAAAGCUUGUUUAGACUUUAAUCUGAUAAGCAAUUAAUUCGCAAUAAACGGAAUUUAAACAUUUAUUUACAUAAAGGCAAACCAUACAUCUCUAUAGGCUAUUCGUUAACCUUUACUAUUAAACGCCAUAAAGCUGAGCACUUUCAUGUGGACUGCAGCUGUCAGUGCACCUGAAAACUGCUGGCCAUAUGAAAUGAUGGCAUCUGAGUGACAGGUAAGAUAAUCAGCCCCAUGGUCCCCUCUUCACCCCCCUCCUCCUCCUCCUCCUCCUCUUGUUAUACCGGCAUGUCAGAGCCUGUGGGAUGGGGUUCCUCUUGCAUUUACUUUCAGUCUGGAUGCUGCUGCCGCUGCUGCUCCGAUCCACUUGGAUGUCCCUCUUCAUGAAGGAGGGUCCUAUCUUUCCCACUUGAUCGCGCACUUAUUUUUUGGCGAUCCGAAAGCAACUUUAAAGAGUUCAUCCGCAUUUUUAAUCUAAACAACGGAGAGCCGAGAAGAGUUGGCCGUUGUCUUGACCGGUGCAAAGCAUGAAGUUCCUGGAGGCUGCGCGCGUCUCGGUGCUGCUGUUGGUGCUGCUGGUGGGGGAUCACCGCGGAGUGCAGGGGAAAGCGGCUCGGCUGGAGCGCUGGGUGAAAGCUGGACUGCAGUACCUGAAGGUGCACCUGUGCCGCAGGGUGGCUUUACCGGAGAGCGAGUGUCGCAGGCUCGCUCAUCUCCAUCCCAGCGGAAUAGCGGUGUAUACUUCAGAGUCUGGUUCUGGUAAAGUGCUCGCCAUCCUGCCCGACUCGCACCCCGCAUUAAAAGCGAGUCACAGUGCGGGUGCGCUUGCUGCUGAGCGCGGGCUGGAGCGGGAGCGCUUCACCGACGUGAGCGCGCAUGACGCCGUGCUCGUGCUGGACCCGAGUCCCGGAGAGAGCUUCGGCCACCCCGUCCUGCUCUUCUACCUGGACUUUAACAUGGCCAAGAAAAAGUGUGCUCAUAUGGAGGGGAUUUAUUUGGGAGAGGAGUGUAUGACUCUGGCCCUGAAGACUCGCUGUCAGAACCAGCUGAAGCGGAGAAGGAGCCGCAGCGACCGUACGAUGGACCGCACACAGAUUCGGAAGAGUGUGGUGUCCAGAACAAGCCAUACAGAGCGUAGUAAUGGCCUCUGCGAGAUCCACUUCCUGCCCCGAGUGGUGGGAGUGAGGGACAGCAACCGAACGCAGCGCCUCCGCUGUGUAGAUCAUCCAGAGUUUGCUAGAUGCCCCCAGCCUUUGCCCCUCACUAGUCCAAGCAUGCCAAUCUCUAGCUGUGAACUCAAUAAAAACACCCGUCGAUGCCACCAGCAGCCUCUCGCCACACAUCUCUCCUGUCGCCUCUACCAGACCUGUGACCAUGCAGUACUGCUCUCAGGUGGUUGGCAGGAACAGAUCACAUACCAGCAUCAUGAGCAGAAUCUGCUGCUCUUCUACCAGAUGCUAAGAAACAAUGGUUUUCAUAAGGAUCACAUUAAAACAUUCUUUGCUGGAAAUGGACAGGUAGCAGCUAAAGAGACAGAAGGAAUGUAUCCAGCCACAGAAAAGGAGGUAAUCAGGAACCAUAUCUCCUACAUCUGUCGCAAGCAGCACUGUGCAGACACAUUCGUGUUGUACCUGAACAGCCCGACCCGCAACGACGGAACCAUGCUGCUGUGGGACCGCAACAACAACGGCAUUGCAGAUCUAAAGGAGCGCUAUGCAGUAGGUGAGCUGCUGGCUGACCUUGCAGGCUGCAGGGCAAGUCGAGUUCUGCUUUUUGUUGAGCAGAGCUACACCGGAGUUCUCACUAAGAGACUAAAGGGCUCUCUUAAACACCUCAAUGUGGUGCUGCUCAACGGCCUGCCCUGGGUGAACACGGCCCAAUUCUGGGCCUCUCUGCACCCUUCCCACUGCCUCAUCGACCACCUCAGUAAGAAUGCUCUAAUGCCUCAUGUGGGUGAUGGGAUAAGCCUGCUGAACGUGACUUUGUCUGGAGCUCCCUGUAAUUCCACGCCACCUCUUUCAGAGGCUGAGAUGAAGAAGGAGUACAUGGGCUGUCAGAAUCUGCCAACAGCACUGUGGCACCAGGGCAGUCGAAAGGCUCACAACAAUGAGAGAAACUGAGAGACAAUGUUCAUUCUUCCAGUGCGGCCUCAUAAACUUCACUACCGGCAUCUAAUCUCAACUAGAGAAUGCUAGAGAUGCCAAACAUGUCUUUUUGCUCAUCUUAGUUCUUUACUAUGGAUUUUGAUCUUCGGUUGUAACAAUAGAUUCAGGCAGAAUGCUGCUAGACAAGAAUAAAAAAUGUGUGUAUAAAUUGUUGUUGCUCAAGUAGAGGUCAAACUGUCAUUAGAUGGACCCAGUCUAUCCAAAACAAAUGGACUGCGGUAAGAUGGAUGAAAAGAAACAUGCUGUCAUGAAGGCCACAGGAGUAUAUAUGGUUUAAGAGGAAGUGUUAUGUCCUCACUCUGAACCUCAGCCUUCCAUCUGCAGCAUCCCGGUGUUUGGCUCCUCCAGUGUUUUUGUCUACCCACUGUGGGGGUUCAUCCGGCGGGCAGCUGCACUUUUGCAUCUCUCCACAUUCAGAGUGUCCUGGCGCGGGUCAGUGCUCACAUCACAUCCUGGAGAUGAACCAUGGUGACUAUGCCAGUCUGACAUUUCAGGACAAAUCUAUGUUGCCCUUGCAGACAUGAAGGAGCCUAGGCAAUGCCAUCAUUUAGUCAUGAGAACUGUUCCUUCGACAAGCUCUGCCCCUUCCAAGGCCACUUUCCCGCUCUAUUUAAAAGGAGUUCUGGUUUUUCAAGCAGUUUGACCUGUAUCGGCUUUGGCCUGUAGGUGACAGAACACAAACUAGAGGAAGACAUGUAGCUGUCUCACAGGUCUCUGCUGAAAUUUAUGUACAAACUUUCAAAGAUUAAACAAGGUCAAUAUAAGUCAGGAAUAAAAAGAAAAUUAGACAUUUUUAAAAAAGCCCCAGACAAGGCCUGGCAUUAUAGUUCUGAUUAAGCUUGUUUGUGUAUACGGUAUUUAAUAUAAAGGUGUUGUAAGAUCCAAUACCUCAGUUAUCAGUUAUCCCAUACCUUCAUACCUCUUUCCUGUGUACAAACACCCCUUAAACAAUGUUCAGUGCAUGUUGGCUAAAAAAUAGUUUAACAGCGUAUACCCAAGUGUAAAACUCAGCUGAGUCAAGAAAUAUUUUUUUGUAUAGAACAGAAAUGUGUUUAUUCUGUAAAUGUCAUGUUGUGCUAAAUAAAUGAAUUUUAAUGUCACUUAAGAGGAUAUUAAUGUCCUCAUCUCAGUUGUUAAACUGUAGCUUGUGUGACCUUAUGUAAAUACUCAAAAUAAAUUAACUUUUGUACAUAACAUGUAUUUAUUUCAAUGGAGUGUCAAACAAUACAUUUUGAGUUUUAUUACAUCAGCAGCAGUAAAACAACAUGAGUCAACCAAAGUCUAUAUAAACAUGGAUUUUCUUAUAAGUCCAGUCAUUUACUAACUGUGUCCCUUUUCCCCAUUCAUCUCCUUAAAGAAUACUGCUGCUAGAAAGUUUGUGAACCCUAUACAAUUUUCUGUAUUUCUGAACAAAUUUGACCUGAAAUGUGGUUGGAUCUUCAUCGAAAUCCUAAAAUUUGAUCAAGACAACCCAAUUAAACAAAUGAAACAAAAACAUUAGUCUUUACAUUUAUUUAUUGAGCAAAACUGUCCAACAUUAAAUAUCUUUGUUGGAAAAAUUAUGUGAACCUCUGUGAGUAUGAGUUCAUUUAAAGGGGUAAUUGAAGUCAGGUGUUUCAAUCAAGGAGAUAGCAAUCAGAUAUGAGUUUAGCAGUGUCUCAAGAACCAUGUCUCAAGAACAUAAACUUGGGUGUUCACUAUGAAAGUCUGGUCUUCACCACACAGGUUCAUAGCAGUGUGCCAUGCCAGAAUCAAAGUAGAUUCCUGAGGACCUCAGAAAGGGUUCACCAUGCUGGAAAAGGUUACAAAUACAAUUCUAAAGUGUUUGGCCUCCACCAAUCCACUGUGAAGCAAAUGAAAUACAAAUGGAGGAAAAAUCAGCACCACUGUUACUCUCCCAAGGAGUGGUCAUCCAGCAAAAAUCACUCCAAGGGUGCGGUGAAUAAAAUGACAAGAAGUCACAAGGAACCCGAGGGUUACAUCUAAGGACCUACAGACCACUCUUGCAUCGAGUAAUGUCAAUAUUCAUGAGCCCAUCAUCAGGCAAACACUGAACAAGAACGGGGUGCAUUGCAGGAUAGACACUACUCUCCAAAAAGUACACUGCUGCCUGUCUAAAAUUUGUUCAAGACCAUGUCAAUAAGCCAGAAGAUUACUGGAAGAAUGUUCUGUGGACAGACGAAUCCAAAACAAACCAAAACUUUUUUUGGUUUAAAUGAAAAACGCUAUUUUAGCCAAAAACCAAUCAUUAUAUUCCAACAUAAGCACCUCAUCCUAACAGUGAAGUAUGGAGAUGGCAGUACUAUAGUUUGGGGCUGCUUUGCUGCCUCAGGUUCAAGACAGCUUGCUAUUAUUGAUGGACAUAUUGACUUCUGAAUUGUACCAGCAAAUUCUACAAGAGAAUGGCAGGGUAUCUGUCAUAGAAUUACUGUACUGGUCCUAAGUCUACAAAGAAAUGGUUAAAGAAAUUUAACAUGUGUUAGGCUUAGUCAAAUGAACCCUAACCCUAGAAUGGCCAAGUCAAAGUCCAGACCUUAAUCUAAUUGAAAUGUUGUGGAACGACCUAAAAAGAGCAGUUCAUACAAGGAAGCCCACCAGCAUCACUGAGUUGAAGCAGUUUUGUAAGGCGGAAUAGACUAAAAGUCCUCCAAUCCACUGUGCAGUAUUGAAUUGAUCACCAGUUACUGGAAACAUUUGGUUGAAGUUGUUGCUGCUCAUGGGGGUCACACCGGUUACUGAAAACAAAGGUUUGCAUACUUUUUCCAACAAAGAUAUUUGAUGUUGGAUAAUUAU
ensembl:lncRNA